AGCACUGUGGCAUAAUGGUAAAGCCACGGCCUGCAGUGCCGACAUCCCACGUGGGCUCUGGGUUCGAGUCCCGGCUGCUCCA
rnacentral:tRNA from 1 species